AUGCCUUGGAAAAUUGAGGAAAUCAAGGAUUUUCUGCUCACAUCCCGGUGGAAGGAUGCCAAGUCUGUCAAGAUCAAGAAGAACAAGGAUAAUGUGAAGUUCAGGGUUCGCUGCAGCAGGUACCUUUCCACCCUGGUUAUCACAGACAAGGAAAAGGCAGAGAAGCUAAAGCAGUCCCUACCCCCUGGUUUGGCAGUGAAGGAGCUAAAAUGA
rnacentral:lncRNA from 1 species